GACGAACGCUGGCGGCGUGCUUAACACAUGCAAGUCGAACGGAAAGGCCCUGCUUGCAGGGUACUCGAGUGGCGAACGGGUGAGUAACACGUGGGUGAUCUGCCCUGCACUUCGGGAUAAGCCUGGGAAACUGGGUCUAAUACCGGAUAGGGGCCAUUUUUAGUGUGAUGGUUGGAAAGUUUUUUCGGUGUAGGAUGAGCUCGCGGCCUAUCAGCUUGUUGGUGGGGUAAUGGCCUACCAAGGCGGCGACGGGUAGCCGGCCUGAGAGGGUGGACGGCCACAUUGGGACUGAGAUACGGCCCCGACUCCUACGGGAGGCAGCAGUGGGGAAUAUUGCACAAUGGGCGCAAGCCUGAUGCAGCGACGCCGCGUGGGGGAUGACGGCCUUCGGGUUGUAAACUCCUUUCGCUAGGGACGAAGCUUUUUGUGACGGUACCUAGAUAAGAAGCACCGGCUAACUACGUG
rnacentral:rRNA from 1 species